UACGGAGGGUGCAAGCGUUAUCCGGAUUCACUGGGUUUAAAGGGUGCGUAGGCGGGUUGGUAAGUCCGUGGUGAAAUCCCCAAGCUUAACUUGGGAACUGCCGUGGAUACUAUCAAUCUUGAAUAUCGUGGAGGUAAGCGGAAUAUGUCAUGUAGCGGUGAAAUGCUUAGAUAUGACAUAGAACACCAAUUGCGUAGGCAGCUUACUACACGAUCAUUGACGCUGAGGCACGAAAGCGUGGGGAGCAAACAGGAUUAGAUACCCGGUAGUCC
rnacentral:rRNA from 1 species